rnacentral:rRNA from 1 species
UACGUAGGGGGCGAGCGUUAUCCAGAUUUACUGGGCGUAAAGCGUGCGCAGGCGGUUCGUUGUGUCGGUGGUGAAAUCCCCGGGCUUAACCUGGGAAUGGCCAUGGAAACUGGCGAACUGGAGUGCGGCAGAGGGGGGUGGAAUUCCGCGUGUAGCAGUGAAAUGCGUAGAGAUGCGGAGGAACACCGAUGGCGAAGGCAGCCCCCUGGGCUAACACUGACGCCUGAGGCACGAAAGCGUGGGGAGCAAACAGG